CUGAGCUAUCAUUGGAUACAUUUUACUUCAUUGAACACCUGACUGCUGCUUUUUCUGUAAUCCCUCAGGGGCAGUCAUCUUUUCUGAUUCUGAGUAUAGUUUGCCUUUCCAGAUCCGUGCCAUUUAAGCUAGAAAAGGGGUCAGUUUUGAGAUGUGAAAAUGUUGAAAGGCUCCUCGUUAUUAGUGGGAAGUAUCUGAUGUUGCCAGAGACUGAACUGGGGCGCGGGGAGCACUACGGCUGCUAGACACUGCCUCACUGCGCUGUGGGUGGGGGAGGUGCUGGAUUCAGUCUUACUGCCUAAUGAUUUGUGAGGAUUUGUGUUUUCAGAGUAACAUGUUUACCUUAUGUUAUCAGUUCCUAAUAUGUGACGUAUGGGCCACAGAUGCUGGUGUAUUAUUUCACAUGCAUUUAUAUAGAUUGUUUUCAGGGAAUUCAGAAAUUCUGUUAUCUCUACACUAGUGAUUGUGCUUUCUUGAUUUUUCUCUUUUCAUUAUUCUUAAAUCCUCCUUUUUUUUAUUUGCAUCUCAGUUCGUUUAUACUCGGGAAGUGCAAGACAUGGCUACUAGAAAGAGAUGUCAAGAGAACCGGAAUCCAGUAGGCUACAAUUUGGCAAAUCUUAGCUUAAAACUUCCUAAAUGUUGACCACAGUGGAUGCAAAUGGCUCUGUGCAUCGUCUGUUCAAUAUGGUCAGGUGACCACCCAGGUUCACGUGGUUUGUCACCAGGGUGAUACGAGCCACAUGGAGUGCCCUCCUCAGAGGCCAUGUCUCAGAGAUGUGUAUUUUGAGUGGUUUUCCAGCAAGUGAUGCAAGAUUUAUGAUCCAUUUUAAGAGCCUGCUUUUUAUGCAUUUGCUCAAAUUUUUAGAUUUUAAGUUUAGUUUUAGGUUUUCUGUUAAACUUGCUCAACUAGGAGUGGUGGUCAAAUACUGGACCUCAUUAGCAUGGUAGCCUGCACACCUUGGCAGGCUCCACUGGAGUGCUUUGGGGCCUGCCUGGAUUCCAGUCCUGGCUCUACCAGUUUUGUGUCCUCGCCAUUACUGGGAGGGAGAAUUGAGGAAAUGCAUGUGAGGUGCUUCCCGUGAUUCCUGGCACGGAGCAAGUGCUCAGUAAUUGUCAGCUGUGAGUAUUAGUAGUAGCUAAUACACUACUACUAUUCUUGGCUAACAAGCCAGCUCAAAGCUUUGAUGGUUUUCCAUUACCUGAUGAUGGUGAUGAUGGUUUCCACUUCCUGAACACUCACACCCCUGGGCUAGGCACUUAACCCAAAUCCAAGGUCAGCGUUAUUGUUUGGGGGUGGGGGAGACACCUCCUGCUCUGACUCGUGUGUUUGGGUUCCCGUAUUUUCACCAGAGGGUGUUAGUCCUGCCCAAGUUCAGCUGGUCCUCAAAGCGUAUAUAGCUCUUUAACCCUCAGCAAGUGUCAGUCAGAACAUAAUCUUGAUUUCAGCUGCUACUAAAUAUCUACCAGGAGCCUGCUUGAGAGAGAGAAUUGCCUGACAGGUGCUGAGUCCACCAUUCCUGAGAUACUUUGAAAUCAGUGUCUGGCUUAACCCAAGCUGUGUAUGGGGACCCUCUCACCGUGGUCCCAAUGGAGUCGCUUUUGUUAGGCGCCCCCCUUUACCUUGGGCUCUGAGCUUCCUCUGCCUUUCAUCUCUGCAGGAUGAAGCCCCACCCGCCGUACAGGAUGCAAAGCCCUCCUCUAUAAAGUGCAUGCGGGGCCAGAUGCAGUGGCUCACGUCUGACCUCCCAACACCUUGGGAGGCCGAGGCAGGGGGAUCGUUUGAGACCAGCCUGGGCAACAUUGUGAGACCCUGUUCCUUGAAUUGCCCUGGGAGAUUUCCUCAGCUUGUGUUGGAGGCAUGUGGCCCCAUGAAGCCCGUAGUCACCGUUUACCCUGAGAGACGCUGGCUUUGGGGCUGACACACCUGCUGCGGGGCAGCCCCAGGAGAUGGCCACCCUGUUUCUCCUGGAGCUGGAGCUGCGCGUGUUCUCAGCAACUGUGGUGGCUGUCCUGUUUUGUUUGCAUCUUAUAAACCUUUACCUGAUUACAUUUUCCUCUUCAGUUUAGCUGCUAGAGAACUUAAAGUCAGAUUGGUGGCUCGCCAGUAAUGAGAGUUUAGAGUAGAGGUAAACUUUAUGACAUAGUCUUAGACUCUUCCGUUUCUCCUCAGCCAACAUGAUUCACAUUUACUUUAUUUUGCUGUACUGUGAGUGUCUUUGUGUUUCCUGAAUUCCUUCUGGAAUAAGGCAGGCUGGUAGUAAGCACAGGUUUCUGGUCCAUCUCAUAGCCUCAGGCAGUGGGUGGUGCUGUCCAUGCUCCCUUUCUGGGUUACCUGUGGUAGCUCUGAAGUUGCAGGGCUGCGAUUUGAAGCCUGAUUUAGUACACCGUGUUUCUGUCAUGUUCUGUGGUGGUUUGCUCCUGACAUGUGACCAUUCACCCUGUGGCCCUGUGUUUUUCCACCACACCUCUGCCUGGUGGCAUCCUACUGGAUGUCUCAGCCGAGCCACUCUGUUCUGAAGAUGCCCUUGUCCUCCACCCCUUUGCUUUGGGCUCUGAGCUUCUGCCUUUCAUCUCUGUAGGAUGAAGCCCCACCCGCCCUUCAGGAUGCCAGCCUUGGCAACAUUGUGAGACCCUGUUUCUACAAAAAGUAAACGUGUAGUGGUGCACGCCUGUAGUUCCAGCUACUUGGGAGGCUGAGAUGGGAAGAUCACUUCAGCCUGGGAGGUUGAGGCUGCAUUGAGCUGAGAUCAAGCCACGGCACUCCAGCCUGGGAGACAGAGCGAAACCCCAUCUCAAAAAAACAAAGAAAGUGGAUGCGCGCUGCUCCUGCCAUUGGAUCAUCGCAGCAUUUUUCUUUUCUCUGAUAUGCGCCUUUUUCCUCACCGUGGGGGCUCAUGUUUUCGUAGUUUCUUCUCGCUACUAGAUUGUGAGCUGCGUGAAGGAAGGUUCAUAGUUGUGUUGUAUGUACAGGCACACAAAAUUUGUCCUUGGAUAGACACAUAUCAGUCCGCUUCCUUCUCCUCUCUGAAUUUCUUUAUUUAAAAAAAAGAAUUAGAGAUGGAGUCUCACUGUCUUGCCCAGGCUGGUCUCAAACUCCUAGGCUCAAGCGAUCCUCCCGCCUCUACUAAUAUGAAUUAUUAGCCUAUACUAAUAUGAAUUCCUAUACUAAUAUGAUUGAAAUUAGUUUGACUUGUAUAAUAAUUGUUCUCCCAGAUUGGGCUUCUGUUUUGAUAGUAGAACUAAAUUAUUAGGCUAUUUCAAGAAAUUAAUAUAUUACUGGUAGAAAAACUGAAGCUACAAAAUGGCCUGGUUUCUCACUUCAGUUAAAUUUGUGCUUCUGAGUGCUUGUAUUGUAGGUGAAACCGCACUGAGAAGGUAUUUGUGGCCCGUACGCUGGUUCAUUGAUGAGACUUCUUUGCACAGGAGAGCCGCUAAAAAUUACUGUGGUGAACAGGUAUGAAGAAGACUGUUCUCUGCCCUUCUUUUUGCAAUAAAAUGUUACAAACUA
rnacentral:lncRNA from 1 species